rnacentral:lncRNA from 1 species
AGCGAGGUUGAGAGGUUUUGCUACUGGAAUGCUCGCUGGGGACUCGCUAGAGCUUCGCCUAGCGAGUGAGUGCUGGCUGCGCUUUUCACCAAAACAGAAUGAACUCGCUACCACCUUCGCCUUCAGCUCGCCUGGCGAAUUAAUUUGUCAAUUUACUGGAGCUUUUCGCCUGGAGCUCGCCUAGCGAAGCAGUGCUUCGCCACAGCCUCGCCUAGCGAGCAGGCUGAUGAAAUGCUUGUAUUCUUUGGUUCCUUUGCCAAUUUUCUUGUGUCUUCAUUUUCAAUUAGUUCAUGCCUUUUUCCUGCACAAUAACACACAAAUCAAAGGCACCAAGCUUGUUUAUCAAUGUAAUGCAUUCCAUGUAAAACAAAUGUGGUUUUGACAAUUUUAGCAAGGAAAAAGAGUGAAAGAUGCCCACAUAUGAUAGCUCAAAUAAGCACUUUUGGGCAUCUAA